GAUGAACGCUGGCGGCGUGCCUAAUACAUGCAAGUCGAGCGAACAGAUAAGGAGCUUGCUCCUUUGAAGUUAGCGGCGGACGGGUGAGUAACACGUGGGUAACCUACCUAUAAGACUGGGAUAACUUCGGGAAACCGGAGCUAAUACCGGAUAACAUUUAGAACCGCAUGGUUCUAAAGAGAAAGAUGGUUUUGCUAUCACUUAUAGAUGGACCCGCGCUGUAUUAGCUAGUUGGUAAGGUAACGGCUUACCAAGGCGACGAUACGUAGCCGACCUGAGAGGGUGAUCGGCCACACUGGAACUGAGACACGGUCCAGACUCCUACGGGAGGCAGCAGUAGGGAAUCUUCCGCAAUGGGCGAAAGCCUGACGGAGCAACGCCGCGUGAGUGAUGAAGGGUUUCGGCUCGUAAAACUCUGUUAUUAGGGAAGAACAAAUGUGUAAGUAACUGUGCACAUCUUGACGGUACCUAAUCAGAAAGCCACGGCUAACUACGUG
rnacentral:rRNA from 1 species